rnacentral:rRNA from 1 species
GACGAACGCUGGCGGCGUGCUUAACACAUGCAAGUCGAACGGAAAGGCCUCUUUCGGGGGGUACUCGAGUGGCGAACGGGUGAGUAACACGUGAGUAACCUGCCCUUGACUUUGGGAUAACUUCAGGAAACUGGGGCUAAUACCGGAUAGGAGCUCCUGCUGCAUGGUGGGGGUUGGAAAGUUUCGGCGGUUGGGGAUGGACUCGCGGCUUAUCAGCUUGUUGGUGGGGUAGUGGCUUACCAAGGCUUUGACGGGUAGCCGGCCUGAGAGGGUGACCGGCCACAUUGGGACUGAGAUACGGCCCAGACUCCUACGGGAGGCAGCAGUGGGGAAUAGUGCACAAUGGGUGGAAGCCUGAUGCAGCAACGCCGUGUGCGGGAUGACGGCCUUCGGGUUGUAAACCGCUUUCGCUCAUGACGAAGCUUUGUGUGACGGUAGUGGGUAAAGAAGCACCGGCUAACUACGU